UUGGGCCUACGGGGGGCAGCAGUGGGGAAUAUUGGACAAUGGGGGGAACCCUGAUCCAGCGACGCCGCGUGAGUGAAGAAGUAUUUCGGUAUGUAAAGCUCUAUCAGCAGGGAAGAAAGAAAUGACGGUACCUGACUAAGAAGCCCCGGCUAACUACGUGCCAGCAGCCGCGGUAAUCCGCAGGGGGCAAGCGUUAUCCGGAUUUACUGGGCGUAAAGGGAGCGUAGACGGCGAUGCAAGUCUGACGUGAAAGGCGGGGGCCCAACCCCAGGACUGCUUUGGAAACUGUCUAGC
rnacentral:rRNA from 1 species